rnacentral:rRNA from 1 species
AUGGCAAUGGUGCUGGAUGCAUUCGCGUCCUACGUGGGCCACAUGCUCGCGCAGCUAGCAGCAGAUGGUGUGGGGACGAUGCUGGGCGUCUCCGGCGAGAUCGACAAGAUGGCCGACAAGCUCCGGGACCUCAAAAACUUCUUGGCUGAUGCCGACAGGAGGAACAUCACCGAUGAGACCGUUCAAGAGUGGGUGGGGCAGCUCAAGCGUGCCAUGUAUGAAGCUACCGACAUCCUCGACCUCUGUCAGCUCAAGGCCAUGGAGCGUGGAUCAUCUACUACUCCAGACGCAGGGUGUUUCAACCCAUUGCUCUUCUGCAUGCGGAAUCCCUCCCAUGCUCAUGAGAUCGGCACCCGCAUCAAAAAGCUCAACAAGAGGCUUGACUACAUCAAGGAGCGAAGUGCUGCUUUCAACUUCAUCAAUCUCGGGUCCUACGAGGAUCAUAACAACAAUGCCCAUGGCUUUCGCCAUGGUAAUCCAAGUCGGGAGACGGUAGGGGACUUUGACCGGUCGGCUGUGGUUGGGGACAAGAUUGAAGAAGACACAAGAGCACUGGUGGCCCAGAUCACGCAGACGGGAAAGGAUGUCAAGAAUGACAUCAUGGUGGUUGCCAUCGUAGGUGUCGGCGGGAUCGGCAAGACCACCCUCGCCCAGAAGGUCUUCAAUGACGAGGCAAUCCAAGGUGAAUUCAGCAAAAAGAUAUGGUUGAGUGUCAACCAAAACUUUAGUGAGGUUGAGCUGCUGCGAAGAGCCAUCAUCGGUGCUGGUGGAAGCUCCCAUUUGGCUGGAAAUGCAAAGGAUGCGCUUCACCGAGCCCUAAUGCAGGCCUUGAAGGACCACAAGACAUUGCUGGUAAUGGAUGAUGUGUGGGACAAUGGAGCGUGGGAGCGUGUGCUCAAAAUACCCUUAGCCAAUGCUGCUGCUUCAGGCAGCCGUGUCCUCAUCACAACUAGAGAUGAAAGUGUUGCCCAAGGGGUGACAGCUAUAUGGCCCUACCACCACGUCGACACAUUAGCGCCUGAUGAUGCUUGGUCAUUGCUCAAGAAGCAGGUACUUUCAAAUGAGAUAGAUGAAGACCAUAUCAGUACGCUAAAGGAUAUCGGAUUGAAACUUAUAAAAAAAUGCGGUUGCUUACCACUUGCUGUUAAAGUAAUGGGAGGACUCUUGCGUCAAACAGGGGGGCUACGUCGUGACUGGGAGCAGGUUUUGGAUGAUUCUAACUGGUCAAUAACAAAAAUGCCCCAAGAGCUCAACCACACAGUAUACUUAAGCUAUGAAUAUAUGCCUUCUUAUCUGAAGCAGUGCUUUCUAUUCUACUCUCUUCUUCCAAAAAGUAGAAUUUUUAAUCUGGAUCAAGUUGUUGCAAUGUGGAUUAGUGAAGGAUUUAUUCAUGGAAAUUCUAUUGAUUUGGAAGAAUUGGGAGAAAAUUACUACAAGGAGUUGGUAUCUAGGAACCUGAUAGAGCCAAAUAAAUCGUAUGCUGAUUUAUGGGUUUGCAGUAUGCAUGAUGUUGUUCGCUCAUUUGCUCAGUAUAUGACUAAAGAUGAAGCACUCGUGGCUCAAGAUGGAGACAAUGAUAUUCUUGCUAAACUUAGUAUACAAAACUUUCUUCGGUUGUCCAUAGAAACUAACCAAUCACAAUCAGGUGAACUUAAUUGGAAAUGUCCACAGGCACAACAAUCAGUGAGAACAUUGAUCUCAACUAUCAAGAUUAAGAUGAAGCCCAGUGAUUCAUUGGCUACUUUUUCUAGUUUGCGGACUCUACAUAUGGAAUCUGCAGAUAUAGCUGUAUUGCUUGAAUCAUUGCAUCAACUCAGGCACUUGAGGUAUCUAACACUAGUAAAUGCUAGUAUGUAUGUACUUCCAGGGAACAUUGGCAAGAUGAAACUACUGCAAUUCCUUGACCUUGGUGGAUGUACAAAAUUGGUGAAUCUUCCUGAUAGCAUUGUGAAGCUUGACCAGCUGAGAUUACUUUCACUUCCCAAAGCAAGUAUGGUGCCUAGAGGGUUCAAUGGUCUGACAAAUAUGAGGAAACUAAGUAUGUUUCGAGCGCACAUGGAUGGUGAUUGGUGCAGUUUGGAUGAGUUGGGGCCUCUUUACCAACUCAGAGUUCUUGUAUUAACUGAACUAGAGAAUGUAACUGCUGCCUCAUUUGCUGCUAAUGCUCGGCUCGACGAAAAGAUGCAUCUUAUCAGGCUAUUCUUGUACUACACAAGUAAACUGGGAGAUGAUGGGUUGGUCAAAGAGAAGGAAGGUGUCUCUGAGGAAGAGCAGCAACGAAUUGAGAAGGUUCUCGAUAAGCUCUGCCCUCCAUCUACUAUAGAAGUUCUUGAACUCACGGGAUAUUUUGGCCGACAACUCCCGAGCUGGAUGAUGUCCACAUCAAUGGUGCCCCUCAACAACUUGAAGACUUUAUUGAUUGAUGACCUGGCUUGUUGCACACAACUUCCCAAUGGGUUGUGCCAGCUGCCCAAUCUGCAGGUCCUACAGGUCCGCCGUGCUCCAUGCAUCAAGCAUGUGGGGACUGGAUUCUUGCAGGCGGCAGCAACUUCAUUUCCGAGGUUAAAUAAAAUGCUCUUGGACGGAAUGGUGGAAUGGGAGGAGUGGGAGUGGGAGGAGCAAGUACAAGCCAUGUGCCGUUUGGAGAAACUUGUGCUCAGUAGGUGCAGACUGAGGCAUGUUCCUCUAGGCCUUGCCUCCAAUGCAAGAUCUUUGAAAAUAUUACAUCUACGACUUGUCGAGCACCUCAGCUACAUUGAGAGCUUUCCUUCUGUUGUUGAGCUUAAAGUGAAUGGAUGCCCUGACCUGGAGAGGAUCACCAAUCUCCCUAAUCUACAGAAGCUUACAAUCGAGAAUUGCCCAAAGUUGAAGGUGUUGGAGUGUAUCACUUCACUCGAGAGGAUGGUCCUGGAGGAUUACACCAUGGAAAAUCUCCCAGAAUACAUGCGAGACAUAAAGCCAAGGCAUUUGCAGUUAUUCUGUAGGCUAUGGUUGCUCUGUGCGGUAGCCGCGGGACAAUCUGGCACUGAGUGGGACAAGUUCAGUCAAGUGGAGCAUGUCAAGGCAUAUGCACGUGAUGGAGACAACGAAAGAAAAUGGUACCUUCUGUACAAGAGAGGUGACAACUACAAGCUGGAUUCAAAUAUUAGCAGCUCUGCCAUAUUAGAAGAAACCUUAUCAUCUUGUAUGGUGGACCCACAAGGAUUUGAGUCUGUGUACAAAAUGAGAAGAAGCACCUUCAGUUACGUCUGCAGUUUGGUGAGGGUGCCAUUUUUUGAAAGUAUGAUGGCAAGGGACCACACCUUUGUAGAUGGGAGAGUGUUGUCUUUACAAGAUGGAGUAGCCGUCGCUGUGAGGAUGCUGAGCUCUGGUGAACCACCGGUGGUCAUAGGAUCCUCUCUUGGUGUCAACGAGUCCACUGUCUCGCUGGUAACUCAGAGGUUUAUUGAGGCUAUUCGGGAGCGAGCGUUCCGCCAUUUGGAGUGGCCAUACCAUUUCCAAGCAAUGGAGAAGAUCAAGUGCAGGUUUGACAAGAUCCACGGCUUGCCAAAUUGUUGCGGUGUUGUACAUAGAGCUUACUUUAAAUUUGGAUCACCAAACCUUGGCCAUGAGGAGAACGCUGACACACUAAUGCAAGCCGUCGUUGAUCCAGAUAUGAGGUUCACAAAUAUUUGGUUUGGAGCAUCAAGUAGCAUGAACCAGUCAAGUCUUUUGCACGACUCUUGGCUCUUCAAGUCCUGCGAGAAAGGUACUUUGUUGGAUGGUAGCAAGCUGAAGGUAUCAGAUGGCUCAGAGAUUGGGGAAUACAUCAUUGGUGAUGCAGGAUACCCUCCUCGUCCAUGGCUCCUCACACCUUAUCGGUUGGAGGAGGAUAUCUCAAACUCGAAAGUGGAGUUCAACAGGAGACACUCUGUAGCUACAACCAUGGCACUGAGGGCACUGGAAAGGUUGAAAGACACGUGGAAGUGUCUACAGGGAGAAGGCUGGCGUCCUAAUAAUCAAUAUGAUUUGCGGUGGACAAUCACCACGUGUUGUAGGUUGCAUAACAUAGUGAUAGACAUGGAGGAGGAGGGUGCAGUCAUGCUGAGCAAUCAGGAGGAGAAUUGCAUCGAUCAAGUGAGCCAAUUAUUAGACGAGGAUGCUGUCAAGGUGAGGGAUGUACUGUCCCAGCACUUGGUCGAUUCUAGAGGUAAAAUAACACAGCUCUUUCCACACAUUUGCUACAGAGGAGGAACAAGAAGCAUCCGGUCGAAGAGAUGA